rnacentral:rRNA from 1 species
GUACACGCUGUGACUAGCAUAUCAAUAAGCGGAGGAAAAGAAACUAACAAGGAUUCCCUUAGUAACGGCGAGUGAAGCGGGAAGAGCUCAAAUUUGAAAUCUUCAAGGUUUUACCUUGACGAAUUGUAGUUUAAAGAAGUGUUUUCUGCUGAAGUUUUGGUAAAAGUUCUUUGGAAUAGGACAUCAUAGAGGGUGAGAAUCCCGUAUUUGACCAUUAUUUUCAGCUUUGUGAUACACUUUCGAAGAGUCGGAUUGUUUGGGAAUGCAGUCCAAAAUGGGUGGUAAAUUUCAUCUAAAGCUAAAUAUUGGCGAGAGACCGAUAGCGAACAAGUACCGUGAGGGAAAGAUGAAAAGAACUUUGAAAAGAGAGUUAAACAGUACGUGAAAUUGUCAAAAGGGAAGCGUUUGACACCAGUGUUGUUGUGGAGAAAUCAAUUGCGUGGAACGGGUUGUUGUGGGGUUGAGACCUUAUCAGCUCUCCUUACUCUUUACCUUUUUCACGCAAUGCACUUUUCGUUUAACAAGUCAACAUCAAUUUCUUUUGUUGUAAAAGGGUCAGUGGAAGGUGGCUUUCUUUUCGGAGAAAGUGUUUAUAGCCGUUGCUCUCUACAAUCGGAAGAGACUGAGGUCUGCAGCGUAGACUCUUCGGGGUUAGAUACAGUUGGUGCUAAGUUAUAAUCUUAUUAUAGACAACUUGUUGACUAUAUUAGAUCAUUGUAGCUUACUCGCUUAUGCUAUUUUACCUACGCUUAGGAUGUUGAUCUACAGAGCGAGAGU